rnacentral:rRNA from 1 species
UGGGGAAUAUUGGACAAUGGGCGCAAGCCUGAUCCAGCAAUGCCGCGUGUGUGAAGAAGGCCUGCGGGUUGUAAAGCACUUUCGGUUGGGAAGAAAAGACCAAAGUUAAUACCUUUGGGACUUGACACUACCUUCAUAAGAAGCACCGGCUAACUCCGUGCCAGCAGCCGCGGUAAUACGGAGGGUGCGAGCGUUAAUCGGAAUUACUGGGCGUAAAGCGCGCGUAUGUGGUUGGGUAAGUCGGAUGUGA